UACGUAGGGUGCGAGCGUUAAUCGGAAUUACUGGGCGUAAAGCGUGCGCAGGCGGUUUUGUAAGUCAGAUGUGAAAUCCCCGGGCUUAACCUGGGAACUGCGUUUGAAACUACAAGGCUAGAGUGUGGCAGAGGGGGGUGGAAUUCCACGUGUAGCAGUGAAAUGCGUAGAUAUGUGGAGGAACACCGAUGGCGAAGGCAGCCCCCCUGGGAUAACACUGACGCUCAUGCACGAAAGCGUGGGGAGCAAACAGG
rnacentral:rRNA from 1 species